rnacentral:misc_RNA from 1 species
AAAAAAUCGAGACUAGAUUUGUGCGUUUGAAUGAAUUACGAUAUAUAGAGAGUGAGAGAGCAGAGCGAACAAACGCACUCUUCAUUUUUGUUUUAAACAUUAAAUUCAAGCAGUUUAAAAAGGGAAAACUAGUGUUGUAUAGCAGGAAUAUUUCAUUGGAACUGAAAAUGGUGUAUCUUAAGGGAGCUGCUUUAUUUGUUACGUUGCUGAUUCUUGCGAUUUCGCAAUCGGAAGGAGGGGUGAUCGGAGACUGUUGGGAAAGACACAGCGAUUGUACAACCCAAAACUAUGACACCGGAUCUGGUUUUCUCUCUUGUGCAGAAAGAUGCGUGUGUCUUGGAUACGGUAAAGGGCACUGUGUGUCCCACUCCCGGUAUACAUGCCAUCAGCUAAACAGGUCCUACCGCUGUAUGUGUGCUUUAAGGCGGCGGGGACACAGGCCCACUUAUUGUAGAGUCGGAAUGUAGAUCGAAGUUCGUUACAGUUAUUCGAGAGGAUACGGACCAAAUCCCGGAGCGAGGGAAAGAAUGUUUUAUUAAUUUUGUGAGUUACUGUAUGUUUCUUCACCUGAUUUUUUGAUUAAUAAACAUCAUGUUUUCG